rnacentral:scRNA from 1 species
GGUCUCUUCUCUCCUCAGUCAGAGUGGAAGGCCCUGAGGAGAUCAAGCUCCAGAGGAACACCAUCAGGGUUGCUGUGAGAGGGCAGCAGUAUUUUCCUGCCUCGGACCUGU